rnacentral:rRNA from 1 species
AGUGAACGCUGGCGGUAGGCCUAACACAUGCAAGUCGAACGGCAGCACAGUAAGAGCUUGCUCUUACGGGUGGCGAGUGGCGGACGGGUGAGGAAUACAUCGGAAUCUACUUUUUCGUGGGGGAUAACGUAGGGAAACUUACGCUAAUACCGCAUACGACCUACGGGUGAAAGCAGGUGAUCUUCGUCCCUUUCCCGUUUGAUUUAGCCGAUUUCGGAUUAGCUAGUUGGCUGGGUAAAGUCCCACCAAGGCGACGAUCCGUAGCUGGUCUGAGAGGAUGAACAGCCACACUGGAACUGAGACAAGGUAAAGACUACUACGGGAGGCAGCAGUGGGGAAUAUUGGACAAUGGGCGAAAGCAUGAUACAGCCAUACCGCGUGGGUGAAGAAGGCCUUCGGGUUGUAAAGCCAUUUUGUUGGGAAAGAAAAGAAGCAGGUUAAUACCCCGCUGUUAUGACGGUACCGAAAGAAUAAGCACCGGCUAACUUCGUG